rnacentral:rRNA from 1 species
GGGCGUUGAGUAUUUGGUCGUAGACCCGAAACCAGGUGAUCUACCCAUGACCAGGCUGAAGUUCAGGUAACACUGAAUGGAGGGCCGAACCGACUUACGUUGAAAAGUGAGCGGAUGAGUUGUGGGUAGCGGAGAAAUUCCAAUCGAACCUGGAGAUAGCUGGUUCUCUCCGAAAUAGCUUUAGGGCUAGCCUCAAGUGAUGAUUAUUGGAGGUAGAGCACUGUUUGGACGAGGGGCCCUUCUCGGGUUACCGAAUUCAGACAAACUCCGAAUGCCAAUCAAUUUAACUUGGGAGUCAGAACAUGGGUGAUAAGGUCCGUGUUCGAAAGGGAAACAGCCCAGACCACCAGCUAAGGUCCCAAAAUAUAUGUUAAGUGGAAAAGGAUGUGGCGUUGCCCAGACAACUAGGAUGUUGGCUUAGAAGCAGCCAUCAUUUAAAGAGUGCGUAAUAGCUCACUAGUCGAGUGACACUGCGC